CUUGGCGACCAUAGCGCUUUGGACCCACCUGACUCCAUGCCGAACUCAGUAGUGAAACGAAGCAGCGCCGAUGGUAGUGUGGGGUCUCCCCAUGUGAGAGUAGGACAUUGCCAAGC
rnacentral:rRNA from 1 species